rnacentral:rRNA from 1 species
UGGGGAAUUUUGGACAAUGGGCGCAAGCCUGAUCCAGCCAUGCCGCGUGCGGGAAGAAGGCCUUCGGGUUGUAAACCGCUUUUGUCAGGGAAGAAAAGGUUCUGGUUAAUACCUGGGACUCAUGACGGUACCUGAAGAAUAAGCACAGGCUAACUACGUGCCAGCAGCCGCGGUAAUACGUAGGGUGCAAGCGUUAAUCGGAAUUACUGGGCGUAAAGCGUGCGCAGGCGGUUAUGCAAGACAGAGGUGAAAUCCCCGGGCUCAACCUGGGAACUGCCUUUGUGACUGCAUAGCUAGAGUACGGUAGAGGGGGAUGGAAUUCCGCGUGUAGCAGUGAAAUGCGUAGAUAUGCGGAGGAACACCGAUGGCGAAGGCAAUCCCCUGGACCUGUACUGACGCUCAUGCACGAAAGCGUGGGGAGCAAACAGG